UGGUUGAUCCUGCCAGUAGUCAUAUGCUUGUCUAAAAGAUUAAGCCAUGCAUGUAUAAGCUAAAGCUGAUAAAUAGUGAAGCCGCGGACAGCUCAUUAAUACACUCAUAAUCUUCGCAAUGCAUCCAAUAUGAUAUCUGUGCUAAUUUUAGAGCUAAUACACGCAAUCAAGCCCCUUAAUUGGGGAGCAUUUAUUAGAACAAAACCGAUCGGGGUCUCCCCGCUGUUGGUGAAUCUGAAUAACUGUGCAGAUCGCAGGUCUUUGUACCGGCGACACAUUGCAAGAGUGAGUGCCUUAUCAACUGUCGAUGGUAGUAUAUAUGCCUACCAUGGUUAUUACGGGUAACGGAGAAUUAGGGUUUGACUCCGGAGAGGCAGCCUGAGAGACGGCUACCAGUUCUAAGGAACGCAGCAGGCGCGCAAAUUACACAAUGACAGUAAACUGUUGAUGUAGUGACAAGAGGUAACGGGGCGGUCCUCUAUGAGGCCCGUCAUUGUAUUGAGUAAAACUCAAAAUAUUUAACGAAACCAAUUGGAGGGCAAGUCUGGUGCCAGCAGCCGCGGUAAUUCCAGCUCCAAAAGCAUAUAUUAAAGUUGUUGCGGUUAAAAAGCUCGUAGUUGGAUCCAUGACCUCGGAGGGCGGUCCCCCACUGGGUGCGUACUGCUGCUCCGAGUCCUAUCUGUCAGUUUGUCUGUGUUGCCUUUAAUCGGGUGGCACAGGUGACUGACGUGUUUACUUUGAAGAAAUUAGAGUGUUUAAAGCAGGCGUUGAAUGCCUGAAUAGUGGUGCAUGGAAUAAUGGAAUAGGAUCUCGGUUCUAUUUUGUUGGUUCAAGAGCAUGAGAAAAUGAUUAAGAGGGACAGACGGGGGCAUUUGUAUUGCUGCGUUAGAGGUGAAAUUCUUGGAUCGUAGCAAGACAAACUACUGCGAAGGCAUUUGCCAAGAAUGUUUUCAUUAAUCAAGAUCGAAAGUUAGAGGUUCGAAGGCGAUCAGAUACCGCCCUAGUUCUAACCGUAAACCAUGUCGACUAGCUAUCUGUCAGCGUUAAUAAUGACCUGACAGGCAGCUUACCGGAAACGAAAGUUUCUCGAUUCCGGGGGUAGUAUGGUUGCAAAGCUGAAACUUAAAGGAAUUGACGGAAGGGCACCACCAGGAGUGGAGCCUGCGGCUUAAUUUGACCCAACACGGGAAAACUCACCCGGCCCGGACACCGUAAGGAUUGAC
rnacentral:rRNA from 1 species